GGUUUCUUGAUUUAAAUGGGAAAUUUAACCUGCCCACUGAAAUAAAUAUUUUAAAGGGCCGCAGUAUUUUGACUGUGCAAAGGUAGCAUAAUCAUUAGUCUUUUAAUUGAGGGCUUGUAUGAAUGGUUGGACGAGGUAAUAACUGUCCUUUUUGUAUGUUAUAUUGAAUUUUGGUUUUGAGUAAAAACACUUAAAUAAUAUUAAGGGACGAGAAGACCCUAUAGAGUUUAAUAUAUAAGGUUAUAAUUGAGUUAAUUUAAAGUAAUUUUAGAUUAUUAUUGAUUUUAUUUAAUUGGGGUGAUUAAAAGAUAAGCUUAACUCUUUUUUUAUAUUAAUUUUUAUGUUUAGUUUUUUGAUCCAUAAUUUAUGAUUAUAAGAUUAAAUUACCUUAGGGAUAACAGCAUAAUUUCUUUUGAGAGUUCUUAUCGAGAAGGAAGAUUGUGACCUCGAUGUUGGAUUAAGAUAAAUUUUGGGUGUAGAUGUUCAAAUAUUAGGUCUGUUCGACCUUUAAAUUCUUACA
rnacentral:rRNA from 1 species